rnacentral:lncRNA from 10 species
CAUAGAGCCCUCAGGCAGUCCCCACUAACCCGGCCACUAGGGUGCCCACAGUCCUUGAGAUUCUCCCUAAAAAUGCUUACAUUCUGGGCAGGAGAAUGCUGGUGGUGUGGCCAGAGAGGAUGUGACCAAGGCCUACAUGUCAUGAGUUAAAGGUCAUUCUUGCCAUACCUGAUGGUAGCAAAGGGAGGAGACAGGGCACUGGUAGGAGAAAGCACUCAGGAGAGUUGAAGUAAGGAAGCUACUCUAAUUUGUCUUGGGUUGGGAAGGGGGCAAACUGAGUUCCAGCAAGAAUCCAGGGGUGGAGCAGGUUAGAGAAGUCCUAUUUGGGGGCCAGAGUGGGAACUGGAGGACACUGAGGCAAGAUCUAGGUAAGACUCUGUCCUACUAGGGACCCCAAGUAAGCAGGUGCCACAAGGUCCCUGGCCCCCACAUCUGCCCUUGACAUAGCUCAGCUCAAAGUUACAGGAUGGAGGUUGGGCAGGUUUAACUAAGGGUGGUUCUCAGUGUGGGAUCAGGAUCAGCAGGAGCACCCCAGGGUAACUUGUUAGAAUGCAAAUUCUCAGGCCCCACCCUAGACUGAAAGAAUCAAAAACUCCAGGAGCAGGGCCCAAAAAUCUGUGCUUCAACACGCCCUCUAGGGGAUUCAGAAGCACAUUCUAAGUUUGACAACUGUUGUCCUGAAGGCCCCCCGGCACUCGUAGAGCACAGGAUCCAGGGUGACACAUUGAGGGCACUGUGAGGUGCUGCUGGAGAAAGCUCCAUUGUGUGUGCACGUCACCUCUCUCUCAUAUAAAUGGGGCAUUUCUGAUGGGAACCACCAUCACCCAGACUUAAAUCAGCUUUGGUUUUAAUUAUUUUCCAGUAGUAAUGAGGUAGGAGGUAGGACUCAACUCCCAGCAGGACGCUGGACCAAAUGGAGCACUAGCUGAAACAGGGAAGAGGUGAAAGCACCUCUCCAUGAGACAUACCCACCAGUGUGCCCUAUCAGUUUACUGUUGCCUUGGCAACAUCCAGAAGUUACUGCCCCUUUCCAUGGCAACAACCUGACAACCCAGAUGUUAACAUUCUUUUUCUAGAAAUUUCUGCAUAAUCUGCCCCUUAAUUUGCAUAUAAUUAAAAGUUGGUAUAAAUAUGAGUGUGGACCUGCCUGUCAGCUGCUACUGUGGGCUCACUGACUAUGAGGUAGCCCUGCUCUGCAAGGACCUCUGUUGCUGCUCUACCCUGCCACUUCAAUAAAAGUUGCUAACACCACUGUCUGGUCCUUGAAUUUUUUCCUGGGUGAAGCCAAGAACCCUCCCAGGCUAAGCCCCAAUUUGAGGGCUCACCUGCCCUGCAUCAGUAAGAGGUAUUUGCUCUAAACCAUUCACUUCCUUGUCUGUUCCCUCUGUAAUCAAUAACAUGCACUUUGUGAGCCAAGGGCAGGUGGACCAGUAAUCUGCAGCCUUGGAUCAAGGCAUACACUAGAGCUGAUGAAUUGAGCCUUGCUGGCACAUGCUUCAUGGCUAGCCAAGCUUGAAAACCCAGAAGAACUGGGGUAAAGCUGAGCAGGGUGGAUGCACCUAUACAUAAUUAGUGCAACUGACUCCAGCUAGAGGAAGCCCAGAUAGAACACUGGUUCUCAACCUUGGCUGCCCAUUGGAAUCACCUUGUUCAGACCACCAGGGGCAUGGGGAAAAAGGUCACCACUGUUCCUUCCAUGAGGGCCUGACAGAUGGGACUUGCAAUGGUCCUCACCCACUCUCAGAGCUACCAGCCUACUCAUGUGGUUUGAUUCAUGACUGGAUCAUGUGAGAGCUGUGGAACAACCAGCUUCUACCACAGGAAACAGACGCUGCUGGCUGCCCAUCCUGAAGGCAGCCAAGCUAUUUCUCACCAAAGGAAGGAAUCUCUGUCAGCACUCACAUACCUCCUUGGGAACCUGUGGGGCAGAAGAAAAGAGCAGGUCACCUGAGAGCUCCAAGGUCCUCCUUCUGCUCCUUUUCCUCUCUCCCUAUGUCUUGCAAACAGACUGUGCAGUCCUGGGGCAACUGAGGAGACAUUUGUGCUAAAGUGAGAAGCCAGUCAGCAUUUCUGAAACUGGAACACUACUGAUGAAUUUCAAGGUUCUACUUUCUUAUUUUCUAGUUGUAGAAUCUACCAAGAUCUCAAAUUAUUCAGGAGUAAUAGCCUUGGGGUUUCAAUGAGAGCUAAUCUCUUCUUCAGACCUACAGACCUGGUGUCCAAGAUCAAGAGUUUGACCAGAGUGGGGGAAUCUCACUCAACCUGAGCCAUAGUUUAUUCUGCCCUUGGCUAUGGUGAAAUGGUUCAAGAACAGGCACAUGACCCAAGCUGAGCCCAUCAGAGACUUACUUCUCUGGGAUUUCUGAAUUGGAACUAACAGAAGGGACUCCUUUCUUAAUGCUAGUGAUAUUAGGGAAUGAAGAAAUCUAGACUAGCACAAUGUCAUCAGCACUAGAGAGGAGAUGUGGAAAGAAAGAAUCCUGGUAGUAUCCAAGUCCCUUGUCCCAAGCCUUCAUCUCCUUCCCUUAAUUUGGUUUCAUGAGCUGGUACACUAUUUUCACUAGCCUAGCUCGAGUUGGGCUUUAUUAUAUGCAACUGGAAGUGUUGACUCCCAUAAGAGAGUAGCUCUCAGAUCCAGAGUAGAAGCUUUCCCAUGCCUGGGGUUCCUAUGCCAGGCUAGAGAAGAGGAUUCAGACCCCAUAAUUUGUCCCUUUCCAUUCUUUGUCCCUGACACAUAGGCCCUUUUGACCAGAAGACCAUCCAUUAUUUGUGGUUUAGGUCUAUGGUCAACUGCCUAUAACUCUGAAAAACAACAAUAUUACAGAAAAUGUGUAUCAGCUGGCAUGCUCACUUCUGGAGCCCCCAUGGGUCAUUGGCAGCAGAAGUAGAAGAGUCCAGGGUCACAGUCAUUCCUCUAAUUUUGAGUGUAAAACCAAAAUCACCCAUGCAGAGGCCUCACAAGUAUCUUCCUGUCAGCUCCUGGCCUAAUAGCCUUUACACACCCUUGGCAGGGGCUUGCCCAACCACAUGGGCCGUCUUUCCACAAACAACUUGACCACCUCUGCUGCCAUCAGUAUGCUCCAGAUCCACCCUACCAAGAAUCACCCAGCAGAAACUGAGCCAGGCAGGUGGGGCCUCUUGGUGGCACAAAUCCAGAGCAGCGAGGUAAGGGAGCAGGCCUUA